GGGAUAGCUCAGCUGGUAGAGCAGAGGACUGAAAAUC
rnacentral:tRNA from 28 species